CAACUUUCUCUCCCUUCGUUUUUCUCUCCAUCUGUUCUCCCUCUCAAAUUCCUUCUACAGAUCUUAAGAUUUCAUAAAAUUUCAUCACCAAAAGCCUAAACACAAAAUUACAUAUGAAAUAGAAAUCUUAAGAGCAGAAACUCACUAUUUACAAAAGGAAUUAGGGGUUUUGAAACGUAGCUCCGUAGAAGAAAAUAUAAGCUCCGGUGUGAGCGAAGAAGGCGAAUGAUCCUAAAAACCGAAACGCCCAGCAAGCUCGUUCUUCGUUUUCAUGGAGAAGGUGGCGGCGGCUGAGUUUGAUUGAUCGCGACUAGGAGAAUUGUUGAUUGGCUUGCUGCAAGCUUCAAUAAAGACCGAGGGGAUUUAUCUACUAGAAGGCUAAGAUGGAGCUUUCAACUUUGAAAGAAGCUAAUAUUAGGUACACAGAUCAAUUGGGAAUUCAUGAUUGCUAUAUCACAAAUCCGAAGUCUUCAUCUUUGCUAAAAUGGAAGUGAUAGAUACUUUGUAUGCUA